UGGCAUCAACACGUUCACCAUCGCUGGCGCAGUCUUCAUGCUCAGCACCGGGCUGUGCGGGCUGAUUGCCACCGUGUGGUAUUAUGUGGCUGUGAACAAUGAGGGAGAGCUGAUGGAGACCUGCAACGCGCUGCGCUGGGUGGGUGUCGGCGCGUCACUUUUGACCGGCAUUGGUUGGUUGGCGUCGUUCUGACCGUGCCUGGAAGAUUGCAGCCUCCACUUUUGCAACAUGAGGCUGCACAGAGAAUCGGUUGAUGCCCCCGCUGCCACCUUCGUCCCUUCCAAGCGGGCCGAGAGCAUCGACGUCUGAUGAGGUCGCGGGUCAUCUGUGUGCUUAAUCAACUUUGGUUUGUUGUUAUCAGGCUACAAUUUGCACAAAUGGUGAAAGCCUCCAAUCAAAAACAUUUGCGUUCAUUCUUGUCAAUUGUGUCAGUUAUAUUUGAUUCGAUAUUUGACGACAUGAUAGCGUCAGGUACACAUUGUUAGCUGGCUCAAGCACACAGUCCGUAUUAGCAAAGCCUUGGUCAUUUUUGUUAAUUGUUUGCAUGCACACUUGUUUUGAAUUUCCAUAAUAAAGUACUUCACAAAGAAA